rnacentral:rRNA from 1 species
GUUUGAUCAUGGCUCAGGAUGAGCGCUAGCGGCAGGCCUAAUACAUGCAAGUCGAACGGUGUCUUCGGACAUAGUGGCGCACGGGUGCGUAACACGUAUGCAACCUACCUUACAUUGGGGGAUAGCCUUUCGAAAGGGAGAUUAAUACCGCAUAAGACAGUAACUGGGCAUCCAGUAGCUGUUAAAGAUUUAUCGAUGUAAGAUGGGCAUGCGACCAAUUAGUUAGUUGGCGAGGUAAUGGCUCACCAAGACUAUGAUUGGUAGGGGAACUGAGAGGUCAAUCCCCCACACUGGCACUGAGAUACGGGCCAGACUCCUACGGGAGGCAGCAGUAGGGAAUAUUGGGCAAUGGACGCAAGUCUGACCCAGCCAUGCCGCGUGCAGGAUGAAGGCGUUAUGCGUCGUAAACUGCUUUUAUACAGGAAGAAACGACUCUUGCGAGAGGCAUUGACGGUACUGUAUGAAUAAGCACCGGCUAACUCCGUGCCAGCAGCCGCGGUAAUACGGAGGGUGCAAGCGUUGUCCGGAUUUAUUGGGUUUAAAGGGUGCGCAGGUGGUUUAUUAAGUCAGUGGUGAAAGACGGUCGCUCAACGAUUGCAGUGCCAUUGAAACUAGUAGACUUGAGUAAAGUAGAGGUGGGCGGAAUUGAUAGUGUAGCGGUGAAAUGCAUAGAUAUUAUCAAGAACUCCAAUUGCGUAGGCAGCUCACUUGGCUUUUACUGACACUCAUGCACGAAAGUGUGGGUAUCAAACAGGAUUAGAUACCCUGGUAGUCCACACUGUAAACGAUGAUAACUAGGUGUCGGCCGAAUCUGGUCGGUGCCACAGCGAAAGCGUUAAGUUAUCCACCUGGGGAGUACGCCGGCACGGUGAAACUCAAAGGAAUUGACGGGGUCUGCACAGCGUGGAGCAUGUGGUUUAAUU